GACGAACGCUGGCGGCGUGCUUAACACAUGCAAGUCGAACGGAAAGGCCCUGCUUUUGUGGGGUGCUCGAGUGGCGAACGGGUGAGUAACACGGGAGUAACCUGCCCUUGACUUUGGGAUAACUUCAGGAAACUGGGGCUAAUACCGGAUAGGAGCUCCUGCUGCAUGGUGGGGGUUGGAAAGUUUCGGCGGUUGGGGAUGGACUCGCGGCUUAUCAGCUUGUUGGUGGGGUAGUGGCUUACCAAGGCUUUGACGGGUAGCCGGCCUGAGAGGGUGACCGGCGACCUUGGGACUGCGAUACGGACCAGACUCCUACGGGAGGCAGCAGUGGGAAAUAUUGCACAAUGGGCGCAAGCCUGAUGAAGAAACGCUGCGUGUGGGAUGACGGCCUUCGGGUUGUAAACCGCUUUAGCCUGUGACGAAGCGUGAGUGACGGUAAUGGGUAAAGAAGCACCGGCUAACUACGUG
rnacentral:rRNA from 1 species